rnacentral:rRNA from 1 species
AACGAACGCUGGCGGCAGGCCUAACACAUGCAAGUCGAACGAAGUCUUCGGACUUAGUGGCGCACGGGUGAGUAACACGUGGGAAUAUACCUUACGCUGGGGGAUAACAUCGGGAAACUGAUGCUAAUACCGCAUACGCCCUUCGGGGGAAAGAUUUAUCGGCGAAAGAUUAGCCCGCGUCCGAUUAGCUAGUUGGUGAGGUAAUGGCUCACCAAGGCUCCGAUCGGUAGCUGGUCUGAGAGGAUGACCAGCCACACUGGGACUGAGACACGGCCCAGACUCCUACGGGAGGCAGCAGUGGGGAAUAUUGGACAAUGGGCGCAAGCCUGAUCCAGCCAUGCCGCGUGAGUGAUGAAGGCCUUAGGGUUGUAAAGCUCUUUCACCCACGACGAUGAUGACGGUAGUGGGGGAAGAAGCCCCGGCUAACUUCGUG